GGAGUGUUAAAAUAGGAAUGUAUAUAGGUAUAGGAGAUUAACUGAAUCCCUAUAAUUAAGGGAUUCCCUUGUUUACUCCCUUAUAGGGUUGCGGCAAUUGUACAAAAAUAUACAAUGUAUAGCUUGAGAAAUUAUCAAGUUACUCUUCCAAAAAUUUCUCUCUUUCUAUUUUCACAAGAAAAAAAGAAAUGGAAUACCAAUUCUAAAUUUGAUUAAGCAAAAUAACCAAGCAUAACCCAUAAAACUGAAAAUCAAAUAAAGUAAAAUAAAAUCUCACCUCAAACAAUUAUAUAUAAAAUUAACAAAGGGAAAACCAUCACAAUCAGAACUCCCAGCUCCGAAAUAAUAAUAAUAUGUUUGCAAUGAUUAUAAUUCUUACUAGUAU
rnacentral:misc_RNA from 1 species